GACUGGAAAGAGUUAACAAUGAGAACAAAGUCAUGGUUCUGUUAAAACCACUUAAAAUACCUGGUUAGAAAUUUUCUAACAUAAACUUUUCAUGUCUAGACAUUUUGAGCAGAGGUUUUAUCUAUUAUGGAUAUGUUAGUCUAUGUUGAAGGUGGCAUUUAUUUUCAUAUUCUCUUAGGCAUCCAAAAAUACUAGCUGUUAGUCUUUACUCCAAUUCCACACAUAAGCAAAAAAAAAAAAAAGUUUUUAAAAGAACAACCCAAUUUUUAGUAAUCAGUGCCUGGAUCCAAAAAUUUCCAAAAGAAAUUUUUAUCUGGGGCAGGAGAUAGCUCAGCAUUAAUAGUGAAUACCACUCUUGAGAGGACCUAGGUUCUGCUACUGGUACCCAUGUCUGGCAAUUCAUAAUGCCUGUAACUCCAGCUCUAGGGAACCUAGUGUCCUCUUCUGGCUUCUGUAGGUACUGGCAUUCAAAAAUGCAUACCCAUACAAACAUAUACAAAUGUACAUAAUUGUUUAAAAAAUCUUUAAAACAAAGAGGGCCUAUUAGAAAGUGGAUGAAAACUGAGUAGGCCCCUCAGCCUACCCAGCACUGACGGCUGUGCGUGAGACGGAGUCUGAGCUCUCUGAUCUAUGACUGAAGGGUAAAGAGGUAAGGACAGACCUCCAUCACUCCUGUCUCACCUGAAGCACGUAAGGCAAGGUAAGUUCAGUUUCACACUCUGCCCAACAUGACCAAAGGCAGGAGAAUGUUCCAUACCAGAAAGAGUUCAAAAUUCAAGGCUGAUACUGAUACAUGACAGACUGCUGUGGGAGGCAGAGGGCAGGACACAGAUCAUUAAUAAGGUGAGCCCAUCUGGCAGCAAAGGAGGGGCUGUAAGACAAAGGUCCCAGAUAGCAAAUGAGAAAAAAUAUUUUAAUCAGCCAGAACUGAAAUACAUUCAUGUUUUUCUUUUGUGUUGUUGUUGUUGUUGGGGGUGUUGUUAAACAAAUUACAAGCAAAUAAAGGCUGGUCUGUUUUCAAACUUUGAAGGCAGGCCUACCCUGAAUGUGGGUAACACUACACCAUAGACUGGGAAAGUGAGGAAAACAGCUGAGCACUCAUCUAUUUGCUUCCUAAUCUGCUCAGCUCUGAGUUCCUGCUGCCAUGCCUUUCCCAACAGAAUGGACUGUACUCCCUGGACGGCUAAGCACUCCUGGAAUGAGAACAUUUAUACUGAACAGCGCAGACCAUUUAGCCUCAUCCAGACACCUUUGCAUCCUUCAGGAAAGAGGGACUCAGAAAAAUGCACUUCAUUCAAAACCAUUCAGAGAGUUGUCAGGCCUUUUGUAAAACAAUGCCAAACUGAACUGUCCGUCCAGCACACUGCUUACCUGGCGUGGGAAGUGGAGGAAGCAGCUAGUUUAUUUGUUCGUUCACUGCUCUGAAGUUUUGUCCUUAAUUCAUUCAUUUCUGCAUCUUUAAAUUGGAGCUCUGACUGCAAUGACUGAAGCUGAAAAAGCCAAAGGAAGACAUCUGUGACAGCACUGUAUAUACUACACACACUCCAAAAUGUGUGUACGCUGGUACUCGCCUUUAACCCCAACACUCAGGAAGCAGAGCAGGUAUGAUUGGUGAACCUCUGAGUUUGAGACCAGCCUGAUCUACACGUUGAGCUCCGAGACAACCAGGGUUAUAUAGUAAGAGUCUGUCUCAAAAGCAAAACAAAACAAAAUUCAAAUUAAAAAGGGGUGGGGGUGCAUAUCCUUGACAUGGCACACAGAUGUUCUGAAGGAAAGUGGUGGUAGUGUUGGGAAAAGGUACCAGUCAAAGAAGCACACUUUGGCCCUGCAACCAGAGCCAAAGAAAUGCACCCUGACUGACCCUGAAAUAAGUGCCAAAGAAACACACUUUGUCCCUAGAAUCAGAGCCAGAGAAAGAAAUAUGCCCUGACCCUAAAAUUAGAGUCAAAAAGUUAAAUUUGCCAGUGAAAGAAACAUAUUUUGGCCCUGAAAUCAGAGCCAAAUCUGUCCCUGGCCAGAAAACCAACCAAUCCCUGAGCAGGAGAUCUAGCCAAUCUGAGCUCAGGGACUGAAAUCUGACCAAUCCCCACCCUGGAAAGCUCCCUGGUAAAAGUCUGCCCCUAAGAAGUCCUACAUAAACCCUGUGCCUCUUCCCUUUGCUGCUGUCUUCUUCCACCCUGGCAGAGGCAGCCACUCUCUUGAUUCUUCCCUCCCAAUAAAUCUCUUUUUGUUUG